UUAUGUAAACAGAGAAUCGCCAGGUAGACUUGAGGAAAGCCAAAUGAUAAACUGAGGAAAAGAAGUAAAGAAAUCUGAGGAGUCAUCCUUUGAAUGGAGGGCAAUGGCGGACGUAUAUGUUGUCCACCUGAAUUUCAAAGAGAGACACUUCUUCGUCAAAACUUAAAACAAAAGCUGCGUUCAGAAUUUUUCAUUUUGUCCUUUGAAUAAAAUGGACACCCUUUGUCUGAGUGUGGACGUGCCAAAGGAGGCAGGGCCACCUAAUUGUGCACCUGGUGCACUGGCUGCAGUUCGGCAUUUUUGGUCUGUGCUGCAUGAUCCCAAGGUCCUGGCUUUGAUCCUUGUUUUCAUUCUUAGCUCCUGUCCUCAUGUUGAAUAAUGGAAACUAAAGACCCCAAAGAGUAGAAGCCGGCCAACGUAUCUUAUGAAGCAAUGAAACCCACCCGAGAAACCACAAAUUCCUGUGAAGCUAAUUGUCCCAAAACAUUAUGGUGCCCUGAAAUGGGGGGCCGUGCAUAAAAAAUAUUGUCAUUAAUGAAAUGUAUGCGAAUCCCCUUAAAUGAAAGUCUGCAAUGUGCACUUUAAUCUCAUGUGAAUUGUUUGAUUUGUAAUUUUCAAUUGUGGAGCAGAGGAGUAAAUCAAAGAAAAAAAAAAUUGUCUUUGUCCCAAACAUUAUGGAUGGCACUGCAUAUGCUUAUGUUGCACUGCUGUGUUUACUGCGGAAAUGUGUUUUUCUUAUCUGUUAUCUAUUGACUAUCAGCUCAUUAAUUGUGUUGUCUCAUGUUUAAUUUGUAUUUACUGGUGGCUGGAAGAGCAUGCCGAGUAAGAUUUUCAUUGUAUAGUGUGACUGACUCUUUACUGUGCAUAUGACAAUAAACUAUCAUCUCCCAGAA